GUUCCCCUGUGUCUCCAGAGGAACAGGAUACUGCUUAUUGGAUGAAACCACCACUUUUCAGUGAUGGAGUCGAAAUGGACACUCCUCAGCUAGAUAAAUGUAUGAGUUGCCUGUUAGAAGUAGCUCUUUCUGGAAAUGAAGAACAGAAGCCUUUUGAUUAUAAAUUGCGGCCUGAAAUUGCUGUCUAUGUAGACUUGGCAUUGGGUUGUUCUAAAGAGCCGGCCCGUAGCCUUUGGAUCAGCAUGCAAGAUUACGCUGUUAGUAAAGGUAAGAUAAAGAGGAUAAAGGGAGUAAAUACGU
rnacentral:lncRNA from 1 species